AGCAAUUCAUUUUGCAGUUUAAUCCAUCAAAAUGCUUUGCAGACAUAAUGGAGAUGACAUUCACAUUGUAGAGCUUGGACAAAGUUCACACAGGCUCGGCGCAGGAACUCAUCAAGGACAUGACUGUUGGGAUCACGCUUGUGGAUGACCAAACUGAGCACCAUCAGUCUGCAGUGAUGUGGUCCAGGUAAUAGAAGAAGAAGAAAUCUGGGUGAUCUGGGGUUGUAACACGUUGUGGGGUUGUGUACUGUGUUAGACGAUCUGGGACUGGUACUAACAGAAAUAAACUAAUUCAGGUUUAAAACAACUUGAGGUUUAGUAAAUUACAAUUUUCUUUCCUUUUUCUCUUUUGGGUGAACCCUUUACGAAAAUGUAGAUAUUUGCAUUGGAAAACAGCUUAAAAAUUUGGAAAACAUAAUUUGACAUUAUUUUCCCUUCAGUUUUAUUCCUUGAAUUUUCUAUAAUUGGUAUUUAAAAAGUCUUUAUAAAGCGUUAAAUGUAUCUCCAUAAAAUCAACAGAAACCCUGUUUAUGGACAUCGCCAUUCUUUAUUAUUUUGCUGAAUACUGUUUUGAAUCCUGAAAAAUAUUCAGUGCUAGCAUAUUGGCCAUUAGCAACUUUGCUUAAAGGGUUAGUUCACCAAAAAAUGAAAAUUAGGCCAUGUUUUACUCAUUCUCAAGUCAUCCUAUGUGUAUAUGAUUUUCUUCUUUCAGACGAAUCUGAUCUGAGUUGAAUUAAAAAUUGUCCU